UGGGGAAUCUUGCGCAAUGGGCGAAAGCCUGACGCAGCGACGCCGCGUGGGGGAUGAAGCUUCUCGGAGUGUAAACCCCUUUCGACCCGGACGAAACGCCCGCAAGGGCUUGACGGUACGGGUAUAAGAAGCCCCGGCUAACUACGUGCCAGCAGCCGCGGUAAGACGUAGGGGGCCAGCGUUGCUCGGAAUUACUGGGCGUAAAGGGUUCGUAGGCGGUGCGGCAAGUCGGGAGUGAAAUCUCUGGGCUUAACCCAGAGGCUGCUUCCGAAACUGCCGUGCUAGAGUGCGGGAGAGGCGAGUGGAAUUGCAGGUGUAGCGGUGAAAUGCGUAGAUAUCUGCAGGAACACCCGUGGCGAAGGCGGCUCGCUGGACCGCAACUGACGCUGAGGAACGAAAGCUAGGGGAGCAAACAGGAUUAGAUACCCUGGUAGUCCUAGCCCUAAACCAUCAGGACUUGGGGUGCAUCCCGUUCGGGGUGCGUCCCGUAGCUAACGCGUUAAGUCCUGCGCCUGGGGAGUACGGUCGCAAGGCUG
rnacentral:rRNA from 1 species